rnacentral:rRNA from 1 species
AGAGCGAACGCUGGCGGCAGGCCUAAAACAUGCAAGUCGAACGAACCCUUCGGGGUUAGUGGCGGACGGGUGAGUAACACGUGGGAACGUGCCCUUUGGUUCAGAACAACUCAGGGAAACUUGAGCUAAUACUGAAUAAGCCCUACGGGGGAAAGAUUUAUUGCCAUUGGAGCGGCCCGCGUUGGAUUAGCUAGUUGGUGAGGUAAAGGCUCACCAAGGCUACGAUCCAUAGCUGGUCUGAGAGGAUGAUCAGCCACACUGGGACUGAGACACGGCCCAGACUCCUACGGGAGGCAGCAGUUAGGAAUCUUGCGCAAUGGGCGAAAGCCUGACGCAGCCAUGCCACGUGAAUGAUGAAGGUCUUAGGAUUGUAAAUUCUUUCAGCAGGGAAGAUAAUGACUGUACCUGCAGAAGAAGCUCGGCUAACUCGCGCCAGCAGCCGC